CCUACGGGAGGCAGCAGUGAGGAAUAUUGGUCAAUGGGCGCGAGCCUGAACCAGCCAAGUCGCGUGAGGGAAGACGGUCCUAUGGAUUGUAAACCUCUUUUGUCGGGGAGCAAAAGACGCCACGCGUGGCGUUCCGAGAGUACCCGAAGAAAAAGCAUCGGCUAACUCCGUGCCAGCAGCCGCGGUAAUACGGAGGAUGCGAGCGUUAUCCGGAUUUAGUGGGUGUAAAGGGUGCGCAGGAGGAAGAUAAAGUCAGUGGUAAAAUUGAGAGGCUCAACCUCUUCGAGCCGUUGAAACUGGUUUUCUUGAGUGAGCGAGAAGUAUGCGGAAUGCGUGGUGUAGCGGUGAAAUGCAUAGAUAUCACGCAGAACUACGAUUGCGAAGGCAGCAUACCGGCGCUCAACUGACGCUCAUGCACGAAAGUGUGGGUAUCGAACAGGAUUAGAUACCCCUGUAGUC
rnacentral:rRNA from 1 species